GCCCACGGGAUAGCUCAGUCAGUAGAGCAUGAGACUCUUGAUCUCAGGGUCAUGGGUUCGAGCCUCACAUUGGGCG
rnacentral:tRNA from 1 species